CGGGGCGUAGCGCAGCCUGGUAGCGCACCUGCCUUGGGCGCAGGUGGUCGGCGGUUCAAAUCCGCCCGCCCCGACCA
rnacentral:tRNA from 1 species